AUUGAACGCUGGCGGCAGGCCUAACACAUGCAAGUCGAACGAGUGGCGGACGGGUGAAUAAUGUCUGGGAAACUGCACGAUGGAGGGGGAUAACUACUGGAAACGGUAGCUAAUACCGCAUACCAUCGGAUGUGCCCAUGUGGGAUUAGCUAGUAGGUGGGGGAAUGGCUCACCUCGGCGACGAUCCCUCGCUGGUCUGAGAGUAUGACGAGACAAACUGGAACUGAGACACGGUCCAGACUCCUACGGGAGGCAGCAGUGGGGAAUAUUGCACAAUGGGCUCAAGCCUGAUACAGCCAUGCCGCGUGUAUGAAGAAGGCCUUCGGGUUUUAAAGUACUUUCAGCGAGGAGGCGUUACUCGCAGAAGAAGCACCGGCUAACUCCGUGCCAGCAGCCGCGGUAAUAC
rnacentral:rRNA from 1 species